AAGUCGUAACAAGGUUUCCGUAGGUGAACCUGCGGAAGGAUCAUUACCGAGUUAGGGUUGCUCUUUGAGUGCCCGACCUCCCAACCCUUUGUCUAUGAUACCAAUUGUUGCUUCGGCGCGCCCGAGGGGUCGUACCCUCGCCUGGUUUCGUGCCGGGAGAGCGGCCGCCGAUGGCCCAUCUUAAACUAUUGAACCCAAAACCUGUCGUCUGAAAACGUUAUGAUUUACAAUCAAAAACAAAACUUUCAACAACGGAUCUCUUGGUUCUG
rnacentral:misc_RNA from 1 species